CAAAGGCAUCGCGAGCUAGAGUUGUAGACGGUUCGAGGUGAGUAAUGAUUGUAAAUGAUGUCCUGAGGGUUUAAAACCCCGAGUUGCACAUCAUAGUGCUAUAUUGAGGUGAGACACGCGCUGGAUGAUGAGAGUGAGGUCUUUUACUACUAAGGAUUGUGACUUGGUCCGUCCCGAUUGAUGAUUUUACUGCGUAUUUGACUGAAAUUUAUUUGUUAUCAUCAUGAUUUGGGCUGAUUGCCAUAUUUGGGCUUUGUGCCAACUAUUUGGACCCUUCGGGGAUUUUUAUCACUGUUUCCUCACUGCUUGACUUAUUAUUUGAACUCAGUCCUGUUGAUAUCUACUAUUUUACAAACNCAGCCACUUUUACUCAUAUUUGAAACUUAAAUGAUANNNNNNNNNNNNNNNNNNNNNNNNNAGUGAUGUGAGGCCGAGUGCCGAGUGAAGUGAGACCGAGUGCCGAGUGAUGAUGCCACGAGGUGGUUUGAUAUAGUGCUUGGGCCGUAAGGGGCCCCUCCGGAGUCUGCACACCCACAGUGAGCGCGGGUACCCAUUAUGAUCUGAGAGUGAGCCCGAGGGGCUGAUACUGUUCUUAGUGAUUGAUACUGUGCCCGAGGGGCGGAUUUCUACUUGUUAUUUACCUAUUAAAUUACCUGUUUUACUUGUUUUAAAAAGGGAUAUCAUUUGAUUUCUUCACUGAUUUACUACUUGAUAUGGAAUUGUUUUAUGCCUUUACGUGUUUUCAUACUUUCAGCGAUUAUUUAUAAUUAUUACUCACUGAAUCGGAGUACUCACAUUACUCCCUGCACCAUGUGUGCAGAUUCAGGCAUCGCAGAGUCCACUCCUGAGUGCUGAUCCUCCCAGUCCAGGCAGUGAUUCGGAGACUACGAGGUAGCUGUUGGCGUCCGCAGCCCCGUGCCUCUCUUAUCUUAUCAUUUUCAUGUUCUUAGAACUAUUGUAUCGGAUUUAGUGUUCAGUAGAUUUGUAUGCAGAUUUCUUAGUUGUUCAUGACUUGUGACACCCUGGUUUGGGCUGCGUCGGGAUGGUUUCUGCUAUUAUUAUCGUUAAAUUCCACAAUUUAUGGAUAUUAU
rnacentral:lncRNA from 1 species